GACGAACGCUGGCGGCGUGCUUAACACAUGCAAGUCGUGCGGUAAGGCCCUUUCGGGGGUACACGAGCGGCGAACGGGUGAGUAACACGUGAGCAACCUGCCCUUCACUUUGGGAUAACUGCCGGAAACGGUGGCUAAUACCGGAUAUGACUUCCUCACGCAUGUGGGGUGGUGGAAAGCCUUCGGGUGGUGGGGGAUGGGCUCGCGGUCUAUCCGCUUGUUGGUGGGGUGAUGGCCUACCAAGGCUUCGACGGGUAGCCGGCCUGGGAGGGUGACCGGCCACAAGGGGACUGAGAGACGGCCCAGAAUGCUACGGGAGGCAGCAGGGGGAAAUAUUAGACAAUGGGGGAAAGCCUGAUCCAGCAACGCCGGGUGAGGGAUGACGGCCUUCGGGUUGUAAACCUCUUUCGCCUGCGACGAAGCGAGAGUGACGGUAGCAGGUAAAGAAGCACCGGCCAACUACGUG
rnacentral:rRNA from 1 species